GUCGAGGAUCUUGGACAAUGGGGGCAACCCUGAUCCAGCGACGCUGCGUGGAGGAUGAAGGCCUUCGGGUUGUAAACUCCUGUCAUUCGGGAAAAACGGCUUCGGGACGAAUACUCUCGGAGAGUGAUGGUACCGGAAGAGGAAGCCACGGCUAACUCUGUGCCAGCAGCCGCGGUAAUACAGAGGUGGCGAGCGUUGUUCGGAUUUACUGGGCGUAAAGGGUGCGUAGGUGGUCGCCUGUGUCAGAUGUGAAAGCCCACGGCUUAACCGUGGAACGGCAUUUGAAACUGGGCGGCUAGAGUGCAGGAAGGGAGAGCGGAAUUCUUGGUGUAGCGGUGAAAUGCGUUGAUAUCAAGAAGAACACCGGUGGCGUAGGCGGCUCUCUGGAAUGCAACUGACACUGAGGCACGAAAGCUGGGGGAGCAAACAGGAUUAGAAACCCGUGUAGUCC
rnacentral:rRNA from 1 species